AGCAGUCGCCGCGGUAAUACAGAGGGUGCGAGCGUUAAUCGGAUUUACUGGGCGUAAAGCGUGCGUAGGCGGCCUUUUAAGUCGGAUGUGAAAUCCCUGAGCUUAACUUAGGAAUUGCAUUCGAUACUGGGAAGCUAGAGUAUGGGAGAGGAUGGUAGAAUUCCAGGUGUAGCGGUGAAAUGCGUAGAGAUCUGGAGGAAUACCGAUGGCGAAGGCAGCCAUCUGGCCUAAUACUGACGCUGAGGUACGAAAGCAUGGGGAGCAAACAGGAUUAGAUACCCCCGUAGUCCCUGUCUCUUAUAU
rnacentral:rRNA from 1 species